rnacentral:tRNA from 1 species
GCGGAAGUAGUUCAGUGGUAGAACAUCACCUUGCCAAGGUGAGGGUCGCGGGUUCGAAUCCCGUCU